rnacentral:rRNA from 1 species
AUUGAACGCUGGCGGCAGGCUUAACACAUGCAAGUCGAGCGGAGAUGAGGUGCUUGCACCUUAUCUUAGCGGCGGACGGGUGAGUAAUGCUUAGGAAUCUGCCUAUUAGUGGGGGACAACAUUCCGAAAGGGAUGCUAAUACCGCAUACGUCCUACGGGAGAAAGCAGGGGAUCUUCGGACCUUGCGCUAAUAGAUGAGCCUAAGUCGGAUUAGCUAGUUGGUGGGGUAAAGGCCUACCAAGGCGACGAUCUGUAGCGGGUCUGAGAGGAUGAUCCGCCACACUGGGACUGGGACACGGCCCAGACCCCUACGGGAGGCAGCAGUGGGGAAUAUUGGACAAUGGGGGGAACCCUGAUCCAGCCAUGCCGCGUGUGUGAAGAAGGCCUUAUGGUUGUAAAGCACUUUAAGCGAGGAGGAGGCUACUGAGACUAAUACUCUUGGAUAGUGGACGUUACUCGCAGAAUAAGCACCGGCUAACUCUGUGCCAGCCGCCGCCGUAAGAC